UACGAGAGGCCCAAACGUUAUUCGGAAUUACUGGGCUUAAAGCGUUCGUAGACGGCAUUGCAAGUAGGGUGUGAAAGCCCUCGGCUCAACCGAGGAAUUGCGCUCUAAACUGCAGUGCUUGAGGAACCUAGAGGUGAGCAGAACAGAUGGUGGAGCGGUGAAAUGCGUUGAUAUCAUCUGGAAUACCGGAGGCGAAGGCGGCUCACUGGGAGUUUUCUGACGCUGAGGAACGAAAGCCAGGGUAGCGAACGGG
rnacentral:rRNA from 1 species